rnacentral:rRNA from 1 species
UUACAUGACAUUAGCCAUGGAUGUCUACUACAGACUUUCACACAGUGAAACCGCAAUGGCUCAUUAAAUCAGUUAUGAUUUCUUAGAUCGUACACUCCUACUUGGAUAACUGUGGUAAUUCUAGAGCUAAUACAUGACGUUCAGCUCCGACCUUCUGCAGGGAAGAGCGCUUUUAUUAGAUCAAGAUCAAUCGGGCCUCGGCCCGUCCUGUUGGGGAUUCUGAAUAACUUUGUGCUGAUCGCAUGGCCACGCGCCGGCGACGUAUCUUUCAAGUGUCUGCCCUAUCAACUUUCGAUGGUACGUGAUAUGCCUACCAUGGUUGUAACGGGUAACGGAGAAUCAGGGUUCUAUUCCGGAGAGGGAGCAUGAGAAACGGCUACCACAUCCAAGGAAGGCAGCGGGCGCGCAAAUUACCCACUCCUGGCACGAGGUGGUUUUGUUUUUUUUUUACAAUACAGCAUCUCUUCGCGGCCCCGUUUUUGGAGGGAGCCACUUUCCUUUUUUUUUUUUUUGUUUUGUCGCCCCGGCCUUCUGCGUGCCAACAGCCGCGUUUAUUCCCCCCUCCAAUAGAAAAUAUAAGAGUUGGCUGCACACAAAACCCCCUCGAUAGUUGGAACCGCCAGAACCCGGAGGGAAA